UUUUAAAAAAAUUUUAUAUAACAAGCUGAGUAUCUCGCUUUCAGUCUAAUUCUCAUUGCUGUUUUGUGCUGAUUACUCUCUUGGCUUCGUCAGGGAUAUAUCAGUAUGAAAUCGAUGCAUCACAAGCGUAAGGCAUUACAGACCCAUUCAUUGCCCACUGAUACCACGCACAUCGGCAAUGACCAACUAUAAUAGCCAAGCUGCUGGACCACGAACAUCAGAAUAUUUCGACGUCGGCAAUAAAUUCGCACAUUCGAAGUAUUAGAAGUAGAAUUUUAGAGUUUAUAUACUAGACGUAAUUUCAUCGUGAUAAGAUUAAUAAAUUUUAAAUUUUAAAA